rnacentral:rRNA from 1 species
UACGUAGGGGGCGAGCGUUGUCCGGAUUUAUUGGGCGUAAAGAGCGUGUAGGCGGCUUGGUAGGUCUGCUGUGAAAACUCGGGGCUCAACCCCGAGACGUCGGUGGAAACCGUAUGGCUAGAGUCCGGAAGAGGAGAGUGGAAUUCCUGGUGUAGCGGUGAAAUGCGCAGAUAUCAGGAAGAACACCCGUGGCGAAGGCGGCUCUCUGGGACGGUACUGACGCUGAGACGCGAAAGCGUGGGGAGCGAACAGG